AGUGGCGCGAAGCUACAGUGUGCUGGAUUAUGACUCAACGCCUCUAAAUCAGAAUCCGGACUAGAAGCGACGCAUGCGCCCGCCGUCCGCUUGCCGACCCGCAGUAGGGGCCUAUGGCCCCCAAGGGCACGUGUUGUUGGCUAAGUCGCCGCAACAUAAGCGUCGCGGUGACCGCCUUGAAGUACAAUUUCCAUGGAGCAGCGGGUAGAAUCCUUUGCAGACGACUUAAAUACGUGACGGGGUAUUGUAAGUGGCAGAGUGGCCUUACAACCACGAUCUACUGAGAUUCAGCCCUUUGCCGCUCCUAUUC
rnacentral:ncRNA from 1 species